AGGGUUCUAUCUCAAUGGAGGAGCACCUUCCUUACAAGCAGGAGGUUGGUGGUUCGUUUCCUUCGUGCCCUA
rnacentral:tRNA from 1 species